rnacentral:rRNA from 1 species
GAUGAACGCUGGCGGCGUGCUUAACACAUGCAAGUCGAACGAAGCUGUUAAAAGGAAGUCUUCGGAUGGAAUUUUAACAGACUUAGUGGCGGACGGGUGAGUAACGCGUGGAUAACCUGCCUUAUACAGGGGGAUAACGGAGAGAAAUUUCCGCUAAGACCGCAUAAGACCACAGCACCGCAUGGUGCAGGGGUAAAAUAUUAAUAGGUAUAAGAUGGAUCCGCGUCCGAUUAGCUAGUUGGUGAGGUAGAGGCUCACCAAGGCGACGAUUGGUAGCCGGCCUGAGAGGGUGAACGGCCACAUUGGGACUGAGACACGGCCCAAACUCCUACGGGAGGCAGCAGUGGGGAAUAUUGGACAAUGGGGGAAACCCUGAUCCAGCGACGCCGCGUGAGUGAAGAAGUAUUUCGGUAUGUAAAGCUCUAUCAGCAGGGAAGAAAAUGAC